AAUAAGAUCACCGAAAGUGACUUUGGGAAGGAAAGGGUGUAUUUGGCUUCUCUCUCCAUCACAGCCCACCGUUAAGGGAAGUCAAGGCAGGAAAUCAAGCAGGGCAGGAACCUGGAGGCAGGAGCUCCAGCAGAGGCCUGGGCAGAUGGACCAGAAGGACAGCGGCUCUCUGGCUUGCUCCUCUGGCUCUUGCUCAACUUCCGUUCUUUUUCCUCCCAGGACCACCUGCUCAAAGAUGGCUCCACCCACAGGGGGCUGGGCCCUCCCACAUCAAUCAUUCAUUUCUCCACUGAGAUUCGAGCUUCCUCAGUGACUCUAGCUUGUGUCAAGCUGAGGAAAACAAAACAGAACCAGAACUAGCCAGCACGGGGUCCCUCUCCACCCCGUUGCUGCAUACACCAUCUUCCUGCUGUUAUUUAGAGGGUGUCCGUCCGUCCUCUCUGCCCUCGCUGCUUUCUCUGCCUAGAAUGUCCUUCGUUGUCACCACGGUCCCAAGCCACAGGCUGCUCUUCUGUGGCACCCUCUCUGACCACCCUCAAUGUGCAUCCCUCUCUUCCCAUCCCCAGCUCAGGUCAGCGAUGAGCCCUCGUUCCCUGCCAGGUAGCUCUGACAACCUUACAGCGUCCUGUGACAGCCCAUUUUCGGAAGUGGAGGAGUCCCUCAGCUGGGCAGGGUGCUGACAGUUGGUAUCUUAGGGGGCUGCCGGUGCUAAGAUGUUGGAACAGAGAGGAUCAUUGGUGCUUUCAGCGUUGUGCCGGUCUGGAGCCCUAGGGCAGUGCAGCUCUGCCAGGAGAUCUGGCUAGCCUCUGUGGAGGGCCCUACCCCCUACCCCCCACCCAGGCCUCAGCGGAUGGAGGAAAGUGAUUUGGUGGAAGGCUCACGCCUGCACCUGCCAUCUCCUUCCUGCCCUGUCGGAGGUGCACCGCCUCUCACUGGAGUGUGCUGGUUGCAGCGUAAAGUUGGCACACUCCCAAGGCAAGCUUUAAAGCCAGUCAGGACCCUCGCUCGGUAUGAAGCCACAGGAGAGUAAAUCAAACCAGCACAGUAGGAUCUCCCGUAGCCCAGGAUAGCCUCAAACUUGCAAUCCUCCAGCCUCCCCAAGUGCUGAGAUUACCGCCAGCCUUGAAAUGCCAGUAUCAAGUGCAAACGGACAGCUGCUUGCUUGGUGUGCCUGAACCUUUAAUCCCAGCACUCAGGAGGCAGAGGAAGAAAUAGCUUUUCAAGUUUGAGGCCAGCCUGGCCUACAUGAUGACACGGGUGCUCUCCGUCUGUGCCGACUGAGGAACAGGGAGGGACUGAGAGGAGCCAGUGUCCGUGGGGAAGGCAUGUGGAUAAAGUGGACACGAGGUUCCUUGGCCCAGCUUCCCCUCACGCUUUCUGUCCUCCGUGAGUGCAGAGCAGGGUUCCUGGGGGCUGUCAGUGCCUCCUGCUUGCCCCCUCGCAGACAUAACUUGCUUCCCUGGAACCUGUGUGAGUCUCGCUGCAGUCCCAUGCCUCUUCCCCAGCUCACACCCACGGAGCGUGACGCACACCACGUGAGAACGGAAAGGCCGAGGCAGCUCUGGGCGUUCGUGGCCAACAUCUCCUCUGCUCACAGGCCCAUCACACACUGCGAGUAGGACACACAUUCAAAGGCAAGAUUCAGACAGUUUUAGAGACCACGACGGCAGAGCAUUAAAGCCAAACACGAGGCCCUUCUGAGUCCAGGGCCUCUGAGGCUGCACAAAUCACACGGCACUGAAACCAUCCCUGUUUGGAAGGAGGGCAGGGUAUCAGAACCCAUAACUAAGGUGGAGCCCAGCCCCGAGACCAUCCGAAACAAGGGAAGCUCUCCCUCGCCAGCCCUCCCUCCUGCUUACCAGAAUACUCACUCGGUCUCCAUCUUUCUUCCCUUGACACGGGGUCUCCCUUUGUAGCCCGGGCUGGCCCUGAACGUUCAGGGGCAUCACCGGUGACAUGUGCCACCACGGCUGGCCCGCUCACCGGUGACAUGUGCCACCACAGCUGGCCCGCUCACACAAGCACCAUGGGCAGCUGUGAGGACCACAGACCUCCAGCAAAUGGCUCCUUCACAGCGACCAUCAGGACAGCUACCCUGUGCCUUGGGGUGUAGCAUAGGAAGGAUGACAUCCUAGUGCAGAGAGGUGAACUCAAACACAACGCUCAGAGUGUUGUGCUCACAGUAAGCGCUGCAUGUAUACAUGUGACUAUCAUCAUCUUAGUGCUGUUUCAGUCAUAGUCUAGGCACAGGGAACACUGUGACGCCGAUGGCCCCUAAUGCAUGAUGGUUCAGCCAUAGCGUGCCUUAUGGGCAUUGUGUGCAUUUAAAUCUUUUUAUUAGGUUGUGUGUGUGUCCUCACCAUGGCAUUCAUGUGACCAUCAGAGGACAACCUGCAAACGGGGUUCCAGGGAUGGAACUCAGGCCAUCUGGCCUUUCAGCAAGUGCCUUCACUUGACGAGCCAUCUUGCCAGCCGCGGAGAAUGUUUUAAAAGUUUUAAUUACACUUUAUUUAAUGUGUGCGUGUGUGUGCGUAUUACACUUGCCUAGUGUGUAAGAAGUCCUGAGUUCAGUCUCUAAAUAAAAUCUAGGAAGGUUUUGCAGGGAGUGGUGGCCCGCUUAGUAAUCCAGAGACUGAGAUCACUACAAGUUCAAGGCCAACCUCAUUUACACAGCAAUUUCCAGGCCAGCCUGGACUACAGGGACGCUGUCCCAGAAGAGCAAAACAAAACAAGAAUGAAGUCUUGGCCAUCUCGCGUGAUUAUUUCAAGUGUUUAUCUCAAGUAUUCAUUUCUUCCUUCCCCAAGUAACCGGUAUCCCAAAUUUUGAACCUUGCUGUAAACAUUGAAACACUUACUCCCAUAUGCUGCCCAUCCUGGGUUAUCCACAUCGUGAUGAUCUGCCAGGUCACACGUGACACAGAUGUUUGGCAUUACCUGAUCAUAUCAACCAUUGCCAAAUCAGUCUUGCCACUUGACACGCUUGUUCGAAAUGCUUGGAAGAGCCGGUGGGAGCCACACGCCCACCAACGCGUGGCAUCGAUUAAUCAUUAACUUUCGAUAGUCAGCUCGGUGUGAAACGGUAUUGCAACCUGAACAUUUGCAUUUCCCUGAUUAUUAAAUUUGACUACAUUUUAAUGUAUUACCGAGCCAUCUCUGCCUCGUGGUUGGUGAAAAGGCUAUUGGUUUCUUUUGAACGUUUUCUUGUUGAUGCAUAAUUAACUAUCGCUUACAUGCUUUUCUCUAGCUUUAGAUGCCUUUAGAUAAUGGAAAUUACAACUUUUGAUGUAAGGGAAUGUAUCAAUCCUUUCCUUUAGGAUGUCUCCUCCUGUCUUGUUUUAAAAACUGUAGUUUAGUGGAAGGGCUUUGACUGUCACACAUGAGAUUUGGGGUUUGAUCUUGAACCCUGAACACACAAGAAACAAAACCUAACCUUCCCCUGAAACAAUAGGUUACUCUCUCUCCUGGGCACAUUUCUAGGAAUUGUUGGCAUAAUGCAUUAUUGUGAAGUUUACCUUUGUUCAUUCAAAUGCUGAUUUCUCUAUCCUGUUAUCUGGUUUCAAUAUACACUUGAAAUUGUAAUGUUUAUUCUAAUUAUCUCCUGUCUCAAUUUUGUGUAAACAAGACCACCAUUUUUUUUUUCCUGUUCUGCCAUUAAAAUGCUGACCAGCCAAUGCUGAGCAGUAGAAAGAAUAGGGUGGGACUUCUAGGUCCAGGGAUGGGAGGAGAAAGACAGAGAAAGUGAGAGAUGAAGCCUCUGAGGUUCUGGAGGCAUCAGGCAAGUUGACGGGAGCUAGGAGAUGAUUAUAACACAGGUAGAAUGGGGAAUUUGGCUGGGAGGAAGCCAGACUCUGGAGGUUUAGGAUGGAGUAAUAAUUGCUCUGCAUUGUGCUCAAGGCUAAUUAAACAAA